UGGGGAAUAUUGCACAAUGGGCGCAAGCCUGAUGCAGCCAUGCCGCGUGUAUGAAGAAGGCCUUCGGGUUGUAAAGUACUUUCAGCGGGGAGGAAGGGAGUAAAGUUAAUACCUUUGCUCAUUGACGUUACCCGCAGAAGAAGCACCGGCUAACUCCGUGCCAGCAGCCGCGGUAAUACGGAGGGUGCAAGCGUUAAUCGGAAUUACUGGGCGUAAAGCGCACGCAGGCGGUUUGUUAAGUCAGAUGUGAAAUCCCCGGGCUCAACCUGGGAACUGCAUCUGAUACUGGCAAGCUUGAGUCUCGUAGAGGGGGGUAGAAUUCCAGGUGUAGCGGUGAAACGCGUAGAGAUCUGGAGGAAUACCGGUGGCGAAGGCGGCCCCCUGGACGAAGACUGACGCUCAGGUGCGAAAGCGUGGGGAGCAAACAGG
rnacentral:rRNA from 1 species